UACUGGACUAUGUUUUAUUUUAUUUUUUUUAAACGUCGACGAAAUUGUGAAUUUCCAGAGCACACUUGGCAAUCGACUCCUACGGACAAAGCCGUGUUGUUCAGUUGCCGCUGAUAUUGUUAUGUGUGUUUGCGUUCCAUUCUAUGGUCACCAUGGUUGUUGUCACGGGUAACUUUUUGGCCUAAUAGCCAAAGCAUAUUUUUUACCGGCCAAAACUCAAUGAUUUUCAUAACUAUUUUGAAAGUAGCCUAUCAUUAGUCUAUUAUACAGCUUUUCAGAAUGCUGCAGAAGUUCUAAAGCGCUGCUGCAAGUUCCAUUCAAAUGAACCCGUUUUCCCAAUGUUCGGAGCGAACGGAUUAUGUUGCUCUAUCUUGGGGAAACUGAACAGUCCAGCCAGUAGACUAUAAGCUAGCCAACUAUGCUACUUUGUUUACAAUAUUUCCAGGCCUCAACCAGACAGCUGAAUUAAAGAGGUAGAGUUGUAAUAGAAAUAGUAGGCCUAGCCUAUAGGCUAAUCUGCAUAAAGAGUGCCGUCAUAAAUAUCAUAUAUAUGCAGUAUUCCCUCUUUUUACAUCAGGAUAUAAAAUAAUACAGAUAUAUUAUAUAUUUUAUUCUAAUCCUCUGGUGUUCCAAGGUAGGAUAUUGAAGUGUGUUUAAGUGUGUUUAAGUUUCAAGCUAAUACUGUUCUCCUUGUGCCCUUUUGGAAACAUUGAGAUGAUCAGUCAACUUAAAUCCAAGAGUUUUAAACAAAUAUGUGCAGCAUGCUAAUGAUGCUAAGCGGAUUUAAUAGUAAUUUAGCUAACUGUCUUCUAUGCGUCUUGACGAUUGUGAAUGUUUUUUGGAUUGUGCAGGCCGAGUUGCGCGUGUCCAUUGAGCGAGAGAGGGAGAGGGAGGGAGAGGGAGAGAGAGGGAGAGGGAGGGAGAGGGAGAGAGAGCGGGGCAAGGAGAGGGGCUUUACUUUCUAUACUGUUUGGUAAAGUUGCACGCAAUGAAAGCAAUGAGAGGUACGAAAUUAUAGUGUAUGUAUCAUUAUGUCCUACUACAUGUCAUACACAAACUGAAAGCCGUCUCUGUUGCCCCCCCACCCUACUGCUCACCCUGUUUCCACACAAUGCUAACCCCCACCAGCAAAAACAAACUCACUAAAAUCACACAUAUUGCCGCCAAGAUAAUCUGUCUCCCCACACCCAGUCUAUCAGACAUGAAUGACUCACACGGCUGGCACAUGCAAUAGCAGCUGACAGACCAUCCCCUGAACCAGUUCUGCACGCUACUUCCAGCCGCAGAUACAGAGCACUGAACUGGACUAAAGAAAAGUUUUGUCCCCACCGCCAUCAUAUUGCAGAACAAGCUGUGAUACGGUCACCACCACCUCAGUUGCUCGUAGUUUCUCACACGGGAUGUGUCUGUGUGCUGAAUGGGGUAAUGCUGUGUGGAUGGGAUAUAUAUGUUUUUAUAUGCUGGGAGGAUGAGAUGUAUGUCACAUAGGUGGAUGGGAUAUAUAUGUUUUUAUAUGCUGGGAGGAUGAGAUAUGUCAAAGGGGCAGUGGGGGACAUUACUUGAGUAUAUUUACUCAAUUACUGUACUUAAGGAUUUUUUCAUGUAUCUGUACUUUACUUGAGUGCUUAAAUUUUGUUAAACUUUUUACUUUUACUCCAGUACAUUUCUAGGCCAAAUAUCUUACUUUUUACUCGACUACAUUUUGUGACAGCUGAAGUUCCUUUUGAAAAAAAAAGAGUGUCCAAAUACAUGUGUUCUUACUUA